rnacentral:rRNA from 1 species
UACGUAGGGGCUAGCGUUAUCCGGAAUUACUGGGCGUAAAGGGUGCGUAGGUGGUUUCUUAAGUCAGAGGCGAAAGGCUACGGCUCAACCGUAGUAAGCCUUUGAAACUGGGAAACUUGAGUGCAGGAGAGGUAAGUGGAAUUCCUAGUGUAGCGGUGAAAUGCGUAGAUAUUAGGAGGAACACCAGUGGCGAAGGCGACUUUCUGGCCAGUUACUGACGCUCAUGCGCGAGAGCUGGGUUAGCGAACCGGAUUAGAUACCCGGGUAGUCCCUGAGCGGGCU